GCGGAGGUGGCGGAAUGGUAGACGCGUAUGUUUGAGGGGCAUAUAGCUUUUGGGCUGUGAGGGUUCAAGUCCCUUUCUCCGCACCA
rnacentral:tRNA from 1 species